GGGGGUGUAGCUCAGUGGUAGAGUGUUCGUUUUGCAUGUGAAAGACCCCGGGUUCGAUCCCCGGCGCCUCCA